GAGGGUAUAGCUCAGUGGUACAGCACGUGCUUAGCAUGCAUAAGGCCCUGGGUUCAAUCCCCAGUGCCUCCA
rnacentral:tRNA from 1 species